AUAGCGACUAUCGUGGCAUAUCAAUAAGCGGAGGAAAAGAAACUAACAAGGAUUCCCCUAGUAACGGCGAGUGAAGCGGGAAGAGCUCAAAUUUGAAAUCUUAAAGGGUUUCCCUUUACGAAUUGUAGUUUAAAGAAGUGUUUUCUGUUGGAGUUUCGGUAAAAGUUCUUUGGAAUAGGACAUCAUAGAGGGUGAGAAUCCCGUAUUUGACCGUUACUUUCCAGCUGUGUGAUACACUUUCAAAGAGUCGGAUUGUUUGGGAAUGCAGUCCAAAAUGGGUGGUAAAUUUCAUCUAAAGCUAAAUAUUGGCGAGAGACCGAUAGCGAACAAGUACCGUGAGGGAAAGAUGAAAAGAACUUUGAAAAGAGAGUUAAACAGUACGUGAAAUUGUCAAAAGGGAAGCGUUUGACACCAGUGUUGUUUAGUUGAAAAUCAAUUCAAUAAUUUUUGAUUUUGAGUAGUAUUGACUUCAUCAGCUUGCUGCUUUCUUUUCAGGAAUUAUUGAAUGCACUUUUCAGUUAACAAGUCAACAUCAAUUUCUUUUGUUGUAAAAGGGUAAGAGGAAGGUGGCUUACGCUUCGGCGUAAGUGUUUAUAGCCUUUUACCUCUGCAAUCGGAGAGAUUGAGGUCAGCAGCGUAGACUCCUUCGGGGGUUAGAUACGUUUGUGCUAAGUUAUAGCUUUUCAUAGACAACUUGUUGACUAUGUUUAGUCUUGUAGCUUACUCGCUGAUGCUAUUUUACCUACGCUUAGGAUGUUGAUAGUCACAGCGUGUAC
rnacentral:rRNA from 1 species